CCAUCAUGGGUUCAUGCCCUUGUUUCUGUGAAUAAAUCAGAAUGAUUAAAUAUGGACGUACCGAACAGGUUGCCAAUGCUAAAGCACAGGAAAACAUCAUAUACCCGCCUAGCGGAGGAUAAGAGAAAAGAAUAAUCGAAGGGUCAUGUACUUGGUGGCUAGCGGUAAAAUGCGGUGAUUCACCAAUGACAAACAACUGCGGAGGCAUUUCCCUAGUCUAUUUCUGUAUGAUCAAGGAUGUAGGUGUAGGGAUCAAAUCGGAUUAGACACCCGAGUAGUCUACACAGUAAACUAUACCAAUUAGAAAUGUGGUGAGUUAUAAGUUUCAUUAUGUAUCUGGAUGGAAACAUCAAAUGAGUCAUGGGGGGAGUACGUUUGCAAGGAUGAAACUUAAACGGAUUGACGGAAUAGCACCACAAGACGUGGAGCGUGCGGUUUAAUUUGAUUCAACGCAGGAAAACUUACCAAGGAAUGACAUGGAAAUGAUAGACAGGUUAAAAGGCCUUUCUUGAUUCCAUGAGUGGUGGUGCAUGGCCGAUCUUAGUUGGUGUUGUAAAAUGUCUGGUUAAUUCCGAUAACGAACGAGAUCCAAACUUUCAAGUUGGCGUAUACAGCAAUG
rnacentral:rRNA from 1 species